rnacentral:rRNA from 1 species
GACGAACGCUGGCGGCGUGCUUAACACAUGCAAGUCGAACGAUGAAGCCGGAGCUUGCUCCGGUGGAUUAGUGGCGAACGGGUGAGUAACACGUGAGCAAUCUGCCCUUGACUCUGGGAUAACUGCGGGAAACUGUAGCUAAUACCGGAUACGACACCUUGGGGCAUCCCAGGGUGUGGAAAGAAUUUCGGUCAAGGAUGAGCUCGCGGCCUAUCAGCUAGUUGGUGAGGUAAUGGCUCACCAAGGCGACGACGGGUAGCCGGCCUGAGAGGGUGACCGGCCACACGGGAACUGAGACACGGUCCAGACUCCUACGGGAGGCAGGAGUGGGGAAUAUUGCACAAUGGGCGAAAGCCUGAUGCAGCAACGCCGCGUGAGGGAUGAAGGCCUUCGGGUUGUAAACCUCUUUUAGCAGGGAAGAAGCGAAAGUGACGGUACCUGCAGAAAAAGCACCGGCUAACUACGUGCCAGCCGCCGCGGUAA